UUGAGCUUUGUCUCUCGAAGUACUUUUUCAGAAAUAUCAUUUGCACAUAUUCAGAAAUGUUCUACAAGGACAUUAUUGAGCGCAUUCGCGUUAUUUGCAUGCAAAGGUGUUUAGGAUUUUGCGUUUAAACUUGUAAAGUGACGAAUCCACGACUUCAUGAAGUGAAACAUGCAUUCUUUUUAAUGGGACCCCAACAGUGUCAUUAUUCCAGCAUGUUUUGAAUACGUUUAGGACAAUCACUAAGUUAAGAUAAACGCUGAAUUCAUGCGGAUAACAACAGUGCGACUCCUGACCAAGUUCUUGGGGCAGCUGGAUGGAUACGCGGUAAACCUACAUAAGGUUUUCAAAAGCAAAGGAGGUGCUUCUGGACAGAAUAUAUCACGCAUAAUGGCAAUUGCUGACAAGCGUGAUGACAUACACCUAGAACGAGACUGUGUCAUAAAGAGUCUGUGUGUGUAUCUCAAUGAGGACAUCACAACACUUGUGAAAGAAUUCAUGGACUGCAACCCUGAAGAAGCUGAGAGACGAAUUUCUGAGACUAUGGGGCUUUGUGAUCCGUAGAAGGUGCUGGUGCUGAGGAGAAACUAGGGGAUGUUGGAGUAGUGAUAGAGGGUGUGAUGCUGCUUCAACGCUUGAAAAUCUUUCCUUUGGAUUAGUGAUCUUGUUCGGACUGAUCUACGCUCUCAACUUAAGCUAUCUUCAGAGCCUCAUUCAUAUUUGAAUUCUUCUAGAAGGUACUGAUGAAUUUGGAUGACAACAAGCUGCCCUCAAAAGUUUAAGCUCUUAAAACCAAAAUUUUGAGUGAAAAUUGCAUUUUUGGAUUGCUUGGAUUUUUCCAACAACUGUAAGUACAUUUGAAAACUUGUGAACUUUUGGAUUUGUUAUACAAACUGAUAACAAUAAUGCACCUUGUAGCUCUGAUACUCUUGACACAAAAGUUGUUAGCUCUUGUGCUAUUGAGCCAGUAGGAAACUCAUUUAUUGCCCUAAAUGUUUAAACUUGUCUUGCCAAAAUUAUGUCAAGAUAUGUUAUGUACAGUUAUAUAUAAAUGAAAAGGAAAGUAACCUGUCCUAAAGAAUGUGUUUUAUUUUAAACGGUUGGCUUAAUUUGUUAAGUACCUUUAUUACUUGCUCAGAGUGGAUGUUACCUUUGACU